rnacentral:misc_RNA from 1 species
AAGUAUCAGGCAGGUUAUAAUAUAGGGAAUUAAAGCCACGAUUUUUCUCUAAUAUAUUUGAUUUAGCAUCUAUUAAUAUUAAUUCAUGGCUAUUAGAAGUUUUCUUUAUUAUUUUCUUGUAUUUUUAUUUUGGCAUUUGAAUGAAUUAAGUGUUUAUGGAGCGAGAGAGGUGAUAAAUCAUCCCAAUGCUUCUCCAUCGCCUGUUUCCAAGUGCUCUGCUUCCCCUCAUGGAUUUGCAGGUGGAUCUCAGAGCUUAAGGGUAACCUACAAGGGUGGUCACUGCUCACCCCUUGGGAAUUCUAGCCAAAUUCUCAUCCUAGACCAAUCCAGAGUCGACUCUAUCAAUUACCUUAACUCGAAGACUUAUGCCACAUCUGAUCUUAAGGCAACACACCUGGAUUCCUCCAUUAAAGGCAGCCCAUUAGAUGCUGGCGUUUUCUUUGUUCAAGUUGGUUUUGGCACCCCACAGCAAAACUUCGACUUGUUGCUUGACACUGGAAGUGAUGUUACCUGGGUACAAAGCAAGCCAUGUUCAACGUGCAAAAAGAUCUUCAAUCCGUCUGCCUCUUCUACCUUUUCCAAUCACUCUUGCAUAAUUCCUUCUGGAGAAUCUAAUUACAUAAUAAAAUAUCGAGACCAUUCUUAUUCUAAGGGAUACUAUGGCUGUGACACCAUUACCAUGUCUCCCACUCAAGUGUACCCUAACUUUCGUUUUGGUUGUGGCCAAAAUCCCAACAAACAAUUCAGUGGUGCAUCUGGGGUUUUAGGUCUGACCUCAGAUGGUGAUGCAAUGAAAAGGUUUGGGAAAAUCUUUUGUUACUGCCUGCCAACCAAAGAACCCUCUUAUGGUUAUCUUCACUUUGAACGAGACGCACAGAGCAAAUGCAGAACUGACAAGUCUAUACGUCUUUUGGCUAAAAGAUACUACUUUGUCAAUCUUAUUGGUAUAAGUGUAGGCCAUAUAAGAUUGGAGAUUUCUUCAAGCUUUCCUUCACAUCCAAGCACUAUAAUAGACUCCGGAACUGUCAUCACUCGGCUUCCUUCAUCGAUCUAUACUCAGCUUAGCUCUGCAUUUAAUAAAUUCAUGUCACAUUACCCUCCAGCAAAAGCAGUUGAAACUUUGGACACAUGCUACAACCUUGAGGGAUACAAAAACCCAACAAUACCCCAGGUGGUACUGCAUUUUGAAAAUUCAAAUGACAUAAAAUUGGACACAGACACAGUUCUUUAUAAAGGUGAUAUAGGUACUGUUUUUUGCUUGGCAUUUGCUGCAAAGGAAAAGCAAAGUGACCUCAAUAUUAUCGGCAGUCAUCAACAAAGAAAGCUGAACAUUUUGUAUGAUCUCCAAAAUGGAAAAUUAGGAUUUGGGAUGGGUAAUUGUAACCAUUAAUUGGUGACAAUAUCUAGAUGCAAAAUCAGAAUGUUUACUUCUUAAAUUAAAUGUAUCAAUUUUCUUCUAAUUUUCAUAAUCAAUAGGAGGAUUAUAAUUAUUAUCAAAAAA